CUCGUUGGGAAUUCCUCUGUUAUCUAGUUUCGAUUUGCUUACUUCUUAGUACUUUCGUAUCGACGUCAGAAGAAAUAAUGCCAAGUUAAUAGUAUAAAUAACAAUGGGGAUUUUCAACAGCCAUUAUGUAUGUCAUUCCGAUCAUAAACACACAUCGAAGUAUGACUUGGAUGAAUGCAACAAACUUUCGAAAGAAAGAAUCAAACUGGAAAAUAGACGGCGAUGCUGUGUAUUCUCUUGUUGUGUCGCCGACGCUACUGCAACUGCAGACAUCAACUUUUCACUUCGCAAUAAAUCCACAGGGUCGGUUCAAGACAAAAUGGUGGAAGCUAUGAAACAAAAGGCUAAAAAGAAAUGAUGAUACUUUCGUGCAUACAGUUACAAAGUUUGGUGGCAUUAUACGCAUGAGUAUAAGUUAAAUCCUUUACGUUUAAUCCGUUUUAAUACUGUGUGCUCCAUCUGAGAAUUUCAUAGGUUCAACAAUAUUAAAACAAUCAUCGAGACACUCAAAAGUAUAUGAAUUUUGCAAUUUUUAUUUCAUGCAUAAACUAUGUUCUGUACUUUAAGCCUCAACCGUGUACUUAAUUUAUGCAUCAAACGUGUAGUGCACGUCAUGUAUCAACCGUGUACUUAACUAAUGCAUCAAAUGUGAAGUGCACGUCAUGCAUCAACCGUGUAGUUUACUUCAUGCAUCAAGUGUGUAGUGUAAGCGUUGCAUCAACCGUGUAGUUUAUUUCAUGCAUCAAGUGUGUAGUGUAAGCGAUGCAUCAACCGUGUAGUUUACUUCAUGCAUCAAGUGUGUAGUGUAAGCGUUGCAUCAACCGUGUAGUUUACUUCAUGCAUCAAGUGUGUAGUGUAAGCGAUGCAUCAACCGUGUAGUUUACUUCAUACAUCAAGUGUGUAGUGUAAGCGAUGCAUCAACCGUGUAGUUUACUUCAUGCAUCAAGUGUGUAGUGUAAGCGAUGCAUCAACCGUGUAGUUUACUUCAUGCAUCAAGUGUGUAGUGUGAGCAAUGCAUCAACCGUGUAGUUUACUUCAUGCAUCAAGUGUGUAGUGUGAGCAAUGCAUCAACCGUGUAGUUUACUUCAUGCAUCAAGUGUGUAGUGUGAGCAAUGCAUCAACCGUGUAGUUUACUUCAUGCAUCAAGUGUGUAGUGUGAGCAAUGCAUCAACCGUGUAGUUUACUUCAUGCAUCAAGUGUGUAGUGUAAGCGAUGCAUCAACCGUGUAGUUUACUUCAUGCAUCAAGUGUGUAGUGUGAGCGAUGCAUCAACCGUGUAGUUUACUUCAUGCAUCAAGUGUGUAGUGUGAGCGAUGCAUCAACCGUGUAGUUUACUUCAUGCAUCAAGUGUGUACUGUAAGCGAUGCAUCAACCGUGUAGUUUACUUCAUGCAUCAAGUGUGUAGUGUGAGCGAUGCAUCAACCGUGUACUAAACCUAAAUGACCGAGGUGUUCAGAUUGCCGUACAGUGGACUAAAAUAUGUUCUUUGUCUUUAUUUUAUUCUUUUUCUGAUACGUGUAUACAAAUAGCUUAUCCAGAAUCAUUUAAAUUUAAAUAUAUAAACUUUAUGCAUAUUGUCAGAUUGACUUGUGUACCAAAUUACAUAACAUGCACCUUGUAUUUAUUAAUGUUUGAGAACGACCGACGCUAUGUUUAAACUUACUGGGAUUUACGUGGUAGACAACCCCAGUAAAUUUCAAUUUGGAA